AAAAAGGCAAACCCUGGGUUUCCAUAUCCAACUUUAACUGUCCGUCUUAUAUGAAAUUUUUUUAUAAUUCUCAUUUUCAUUGUUGUUAGAUGAUAAAACAUGAUUAAUAUUUUAUGCGUGACUUGUCUUUUUAAUUUUUUUCAUAAUUUUUUCAAAUAAGACGGACGGUCAAACGUUCGGCAUGGAAACCAGGGUUUGUCUUUUU
rfam:Oryza sativa (indica cultivar-group) chromosome 2, whole genome shotgun sequence.